GUAGGUUAAUUCCAUUAAACGUACACAUUUUAUUCUCUGUUACAAAUUUCUUUUAUAAGUAAAUUUAAAAAAAAAAUUGUAGUACACUUAAAAAAUGCAUUGUUAAACAUUUAAACAAGAAAUUAUAUAUGUAGUUACAUGAAACAUAAUUUUGCAAUGAAUUUAGUAAUUAAACUGUAUUACCUUAAGCCUUAUAAUGAUUGUAACAUCUUAAUAGUUAAAACUGAGUAAUAUAAAAGAUAAACAUACAUACUUCAUAUUAUAUCAUUAAAUUAAUAUAAUUAUUGUUAUAAUAGAUUUUAAGAACUCACAAUGUAUUUUAUGGUGCAGUAAUAUAAUAGUAUACAUAUGUCCAAGUUAAGAAAUAAAUCAACAUUUAUUUUGCCCAUGCAGUGCCCAAACAUUGGGUUUAAAGUAUCAGUUUUAAUGUAGUAUAGCUAAAUUUCUGAGGCAAUGCUAAAAAACUAUAGUACACAUGCUAUUUUUUAUUUCUCUUAAAUUCUUCAGUUACUCUAAUUUAUACUAUUUGUUUAGAAUUUUAUACCAGGAUUCGCUUAAAUGGCAGCUAUCAAAUUUAAAUUAUGCAAUUAUUUACUACUAAGAAGCAGCAUCAUUAUCAUCAUCAUCAUCCAUCAUCAUCAUCAUCAUCAUCAUCAUCAUCAUUAGGUUCUAACAUUGUUACAUACAUAAUGCUGAAGUGUUGAUGUUGGAAUUGAAUGUUAACAAUAUAAUAAAUGUGUACAAAUGUAUGUAGAUAUUUUAUGUUGAUUUAUUUUAUUUAUUGGAAUAAAUCUUCAUUGUAAUUCUGCAUACAAAGAACUACUUGUGUGGAAAACUACUCGAGUUCCUCUGCACAAUAUUAUUUAGUUUUCAAGUUCAAAGUAAAUGGACCAAUUUUUGAAAUGGUUCAUAUUAUGUACAAAUGUUAUACUCAAAUAAUUUUUAUGAAAUAUAUACACCAAGAAAUAUACAAACGGUUUCAGAAGCCUCAGGGUACAAAUCUAAUCUAUAAAGUUGAAUCAAAGCUGUAAAACGAUGAUAAGUUAAAAAUUAAGUAAAAACAGUAAAAACUUUAUACGUGUAAUAAUAAGUUCAUUUAAUAAAAGAAUAGGUGGAAUACAAAAAGACACACUGCCUUAU